AGCCCAUGUACAGUCCUUCAGCAAACCUGUCCACACAGUUCAUCAGCCCUUUGAGUAACCCCUUAGAUUGUGAAAGAAAGAAGCUGACUGAUAUACAUAAGACAAAUUAUAAAGAACCUCUUCUGCAGUAAGUACUUUGGAAAGCAUUUACAUGAAUGUCAGGCAGUCACUUAGGCAGUGAUAGUCGACCCCUGCUGGGACACAUGAGAAUGGGCCUUGAACCUGGAACAUUCUUACAUAGUAAAAAAGAGCUCUCAUAUCUUGUGUUGAGUAUAUGUGUGGGAAUAUCUCUUCCUGUUUCAGACUAAAUGUGUAUCUUUUGUUCUGCUUAAGCAUGUGUGCCAUAUGGCUCCUGGCCAACCCCACUACUACAACCAUUCUGGACCAGAGGGGAUAGUGUCCUUCAACUGCAGAAUGAGGCAGUGCAUGGAGACUAUCAUUCUAUGUGAGCUGUGGAAUGAGACCCACUGGCCAUGGGAAACCAACAGAUACCAUUGUAGCUAAUCUUGAUCUGAUCAUCUUUAAGUAAAAUGUUGUUCCAACCAAUCCCUUUCCAUCGAAUGCCUGUGUGAGUGGUGUCUUCCUUGGUUACUUUGAACCAUAGAGUAGACUGACAUCCUUGGGACUGUGGCUCCUGG
rnacentral:lncRNA from 10 species